UUGGUCAUUUAGAGGAAGUAAAAGUCGUAACAAGGUUUCCGUAGGUGAACCUGCGGAAGGAUCAUUAUUGAAAUAAACCUGAUAAGUUGCUGCUGGUUCUCUAGGGAGCAUGUGCACACUUGUCAUCUUUGUAUCUUCACCUGUGCACCUUUUGUAGACCUGAGUAUCUCUCUGAAUGCUUUAGCACUCAGGAUUGAGGAUUGAUUCCAAGUCUUUUCUCACAUUUUCAGGUCUAUGUUUCUUCAUAUACCCCAAUGUAUGUUCAUAGAAUGUAAUUAAUGGGCCUUUGUGCCUAUAAACCCAUACAACUUUCAGCAACGGAUCUCUUGGCUCUCGCAUCGAUGAAGAACGCAGCGAAAUGCGAUAAGUAAUGUGAAUUGCAGAAUUCAGUGAAUCAUCGAAUCUUUGAACGCACCUUGCGCUCCUUGGUAUUCUGAGGAGCAUGCCUGUUUGAGUGUCAUUAAUAUAUCAACCUUCUUUGGUUGGAUGUGGGGUGUGCUGGCCUCUUCAGGUCAGCUCUCCUUAAAUGCAUUAGCGGACUACAUUUUGCCAACCGUUCAUUGGUGUGAUAAUUAUCUACGCUAUUGACGUGAAGCAACGUUCAGCUUCUAACAGUCCAUUGACUUGGACAAAUUUUUAUUAAUGUGACCUCAAAUCAGGUAGGACUACCCGCUGAACUUAAGCAUAUCAAUAAGCGGAGG
rnacentral:rRNA from 1 species